rnacentral:rRNA from 1 species
AAGACCUUGCGCUUUUGGAGCGGCCGAUGCCUGAUUAGCUUGUUGGUGAGGUAAAAGCUCACCAAGGCUUCGAUCAGUAGCUGGUCUGAGAGGACGACCAGCCACACUGGGUCUGAGACACGGCCCAGACUCCUACGGGAGGCAGCAGUGGGGAAUUUUGGACAAUGGGGGCAACCCUGAUCCAGCCAUGCCGCGUGAGUGAAGAAGGCCUUCGGGUUGUAAAGCUCUUUCAGCCGGAACGAAACGGUCACGGCUAAUACCUGUGACUACUGACGGUACCGGAAGAAGAAGCACCGGCUAACUACGUGCCAGCAGCCGCGGUAAUACGUAGGGUGCGAGCGUUAAUCGGAAUUACUGGGCGUAAAGCGUGCGCAGGCGGUUUUGUAAGUCAGAUGUGAAAUCCCCGGGCUUAACCUGGGAACU